UAACGCGUAGGAACCUAUCGCACAGUGGGGGAUAACACGGGGAAACCGGUGCUAAUACCGCAUGUGGUCAGAGAUGAAGAGAGCAGCAAUGCGCUGUGUGAGGGGCCUGCGUCCGAUUAGCUGGUUGGUGGGGUAACGGCCUACCAAGGCGACGAUCGGUAGCUGGUCUGAGAGGAUGAUCAGCCACACUGGGACUGAGACACGGCCCAG
rnacentral:rRNA from 1 species